GCCUAUGUAUGCGUGUCUGUGCGUGAAUGUGUUGGUGCGAAGAAGCAACAAAAGAGCGCGAGAGAACACAAGUCAGACAAAAAGAGGAGAGAGAGAGCCAGAGCGGAAUAGAGGGAGUGUAAAUGCGCGCGCGCAGUGUUGCUUUGGAUUGGAAUUCAUUUGCCGUCCCGUCGCUUCUGUUGCUGCCCAUGAACAUAUCAAAUAGGGUGGCAACGCAGCAAACUACGGACACUCGGGCGCGCAUUAAAAAUGAGAAUCGUUGCCUGUUUUCUGUUGCUGCUGUCGCUUGAGAGAUGUGAGAGGAGAGGCAAUAAAAAAAGUACAUAACAGAUGCCCCCCAUGUACUUGGGACACACAUAUAUUUGGCCCGCCUGGGUUCUUAACUGCAGUCUCUUUCAGUGGAACCGUGUGCGAGUGGAAGGAAGUUUGCUCCAUGCUCUUGCAUGCUAAUGGACUCUGGGGUCUACAGUCCACCGAUUGAGGCGAAAUAAAUUGAGGAAAGAAAAGAUCGUCGUGAGCAGCGGCAAAUGAGAAAAAUAGCGCUUAGAAUUUGGAUAAGUAACGAAUGUUCAGAGAGUCGAGUCGGAUGACUGGGAAGCUUACGUAAGUGCAAAAAGCACCAACACAGUUACGGUGCGAAAGAGCCGGCACGAGAGCUUGCAAAACAAGUCGGAUAAUACAGGGUGAUCAUGGCAACAUAACCCAGCGAUACCCUGUUUCGUGUUGAGAGCGUGGAAAAGAGCGAAAAGAGACCCAUACACAGAAAAAUGUGUACUGCGGCGGUGGCGACGUCGGCGUCGAUACUCUGUACAUAAUGAAAUCGACAAAACUGAAAAUCAGAAACCGAACGGACUACAGAGCAGGCUACAACUCUGCCACGGUUACACUUUGCGGCGGCAGCAGUGGCGGCACAUAUACACCUACUACAAUCCACACCUCCACAUCCACUUCGCUCACGCACACAGGCCCACACAAAACGCACACUCGCGCGUAUUCGUAACCGUCUGGCGUGUGUGUGCAUGUGUUUGUUUGUGUGUAACGUAGAAAGGCAGCAAAGUGCAUCUCACCAUGACAAUGGCGGUAGAGCCGCGGCGGAACCAUCAUAUAGUCGUCGAUGGCCACCAGAGCAUACUCUUCUCGUCACCAAACCCAAAAAACACAUGUUGGAAUCUCAAUUUGCCUCUGGAAAAGGCAGGGAGAAAUAAAAUCUGUACACGCGAAAAAUCUGACGUGGAAUUGACUGCUGCUGGGGGUGGUGGUGGAAAUGGAAACCUUGCAAUUAUCGAUUAUUUCGCUCAUUGCGCAAUGCAGACCGGACGGACCCACAAGCGAGGGAGAGCGAGAGAGGGAGAAGGAGAAGGAAAAGAGAGAGUUUAAGGGAGCGAGCUCGCUCUCGGUGGCACCUGCUAUGCGGGAACGCACAGCCACUGUCGAUGGCUAAUGCAAAUCAAGUGCAUCCAAAACUUGGAGCAGCAAUACGAAGCUCCUCUCUACUCUUGUCGUCGCCUCGUCUGAAAGUUCAAAGUUCACUUGCAGCUGGUGCAGCGCAUGUCUAGGCCCAAGCCUGCAGUCUCCCCACUCUGAUGAUUGGCGCAAAAGGGACAGCCACACUCUCUGUGUGCCGCCCACGCGCUAGUUUGUGGUUCCAGUGCUGCAGGAAGGUUUGUUUGCCUUUCCAGGUAUUCGAUGGAGAGUGUGGCCACAUACCGACGACCAGGCCGAAGCCCCUCGCCGAAACAUUACUAGAAGACACGAAACAGUCAUUAAAAGCUCCACCAACAACAUCCAGAACAACCAAAGCUGACCACAACACAAUUCGUAAAUCUGAUUGGGUUGCACCCAUUUUAACAGGCGAAGAGAUGUGCUACUCGUCGUGCAUGCAUAUGCAAUAGGGCCAGGCCCGCCCCACAGUUUCUAAUUUCAUGUGUGGUCAGCAAAUUAUCAGAUAUUUUCGUUUUGUCACUUACGCCUGUGGUUUAUGAGAGCCAUGUGAUGCUACCAAUUAUAACUCUUGACAAGAUACCAUUGCAAUUGCAGCGGAAGAAGGAGCUGAUUAGAUGUUAAUCAAUAAGAGAGUUUCAUAAA